GCUUCGUUAGCUCAGUGGCAGAGCACUGGUCUCGUAAACCUGGCGUCGAGGGUUCAACUCCCUCACGAGGCU
rnacentral:tRNA from 1 species